CGGUUAACCUAAAUUCUUCCACUGCCUUCACCAAGUCAGAUUAUAAAGAAUUAGAUUCAAACCGGUUAAGGAGGCACCUAAAUCAGUCAAACUGAUUUUUCUUACAGGCAUGGGCUAACUCGAAUCAUUAAAUGAUCCAAUCAAAAAUAAUUGACCAAAUCGGCUAGAUAAGUGAGAUCGAUGGAAGGGAUAUGCCAUUAACUCGACAAAGACGCAUCAGUGCGAGUAGCUCCCAAUUAAAAACCACCGGUCGAGUCUGUCAAAUUUAUCUUAGACACCGAUUGGUUAAUCAAUUUUGAUUUUGACCAUUCUAAUGACUCGGGCUCAACCA
rnacentral:lncRNA from 1 species